AUUGAACGCUGGCGGCAGGCCUAACACAUGCAAGUCGAGCGGAUGAAGGCAGCUUGCUCCUGGAUUCAGCGGCGCACGGGUGAGUAAUGCCUAGGAAUCUGCCUGGUAGUGGGGGAUAACGUCCGGAAACGGGCGCUAAUACCGCAUACGUCCUGCGGCAGAAAGUUGGGGAUCUUCGGACCUCACGCUCUCAGAUGAGCCUAGGUCGGAUUAGCUAGUUGGUGGGGUAAAGGCCUACCAAGGCGACGAUCCGUAACUGGUCUGAGAGGGUGAUCAGUCACACUGGAACUGAGACACGGUCCAGACUCCUACGGGAGGCAGCAGUGGGGAAUAUGGGACAAUGGGCGAAAGCCUGAUCCAGCCAUGCCGCGUGUGUGAAGAAGGUCUUCGGAUUGUAAAGCACUUUAAGUUGGGAGGAAGGGCAGUAAGUUAAUACCUUGCUGUUUUGACGUUACUAACAGAAUAAGCACCGGCUAACUUCGUG
rnacentral:rRNA from 1 species